CGGCACCGUUCGUAACCUGGUUCACCCUCCGUGUGAACUCGGGUUCCAUUCCGGUGCUACAGCGAGCUCCGGUGAGGCAGGGGAGCGGCGCCCUUCUGUGUUGGCUCCCUGUUCACUCUCCGGAAACACGA
ensembl:snoRNA small nucleolar RNA SNORA54